CUAUAUAAAAAUUUAUGCUUAUAGCUUACACCUAUGCAUUUUCACUUCAGUUAAUGAUUCUUGGCACUGUUGCUUUCUGAAUCGUACUCUUGUUUAUAACCGUCGUUAUACUUUCAGUAAAUAAAUGUAAAUAAACAAAUGUGACCUGCUCCGAUUACAUUUCAAUGAAUUUUAUUUUAUUUACUGAACAUUAACUUCAUAUGAUGUCAUAUUGCGCUGCAUUUGGAUGCAAUAACGCUAAAAUUAAACCCAACUGCAAAGAAAAAUCGUUUUUUGCGUUUCCAGUUCAUAAUAAAGUGCAAUUACUAUUGUGGUUACUCAAUGUCAGGCGUGCUAAUUUCGUUCCAACCAAAUAUACUGUUCUGUGUUCUGACCAUUUUGAAGAAGAAUGUUUUAAGCAUAAAAAUUUUACAAAGAGAAGAUUACUAAAGAAGGGAGCUAUUCCUACAAAAUUUAUCUUUUCAAAGAGCAAGGACUGAAAGCACGAAAACCAGUGCAAUUUUAAUCGUGUUUCAAGUGCAGAAGAUCAGCAGGACAAAAUUUCAUGGAAGGUUGAUUGUAUUUCAAGUUCAUUCUUUUUAUGCAUUUCAUCUUUUUACCCAGCAUCAGAAGGUUCAGAUUCUUCUGAAUCUCUUGGUGAAGUAUAACACAAAGAUCGAAGAAACCAUGUGUUAUUGAAUAUAAUAUGAAAUGUUUCAGAAUAAAUUGCCAGCUAAUGGCACAACAGAGAAAAUGUUUUAUGAAACGUACAAACAGAUGUUGUAUUUCUAAAAGAUGGAAGAGGAAGACAUGGAAAGUUAAAACAGCUGAUGAAAUAAAACAAAGAUUUAGAAACUACAUACCGCAGCAUCCUGCACACCAAUAGUAACUAAAUCUUCCUCUAUUUCUUUCUAAUACGUAUAGAUUGUAUAAAAAUCAAUGAUAUAAUGCAGGGUUUAAACUACAAUUUUGAGACUUGUAAGCUGUGAAAUGUUUAUAGAUAAUUUGUAUAUUUUAGUGUAUAUAUUGAUUUAUUAGAUAGUGUGUUACACACUGUAUAUUUUUUGAUAAGGAAAAUAAUAUUUGAAUUGACACACCAUUAUUGUACAAAGCCUUUAUUAACUGGUCAAUUUAAAAAAGUUUUAGUUUAAAAGCAUUUUUGUAAUAAAAUUACUGUUGAAUGUA